rnacentral:rRNA from 1 species
GUGGCGGACGGGUGAGGAACGCGUGAGAACCUGCCUCAAGGUCGGGGACAACAGUUGGAAACGACUGCUAAUACCGGAUGAGCCUUCGGGUAAAAGAUUUAUCGCCUAGAGAGGGGCUCGCGUCUGAUUAGCUAGAUGGUGAGGUAAAGGCUUACCAUGGCAACGAUCAGUAGCUGGUCUGAGAGGAUGAGCAGCCACACUGGGACUGAGACACGGCCCAGACUCCUACGGGAGGCAGCAGUGGGGAAUUUUCCGCAAUGGGCGAAAGCCUGACGGAGCAAUACCGCGUGAGGGAGGAAGGCUCUUGGGUUGUAAACCUCAAAACUUAGGGAAGAAAAAAAUGACGGUACCUAAUGUAAGCAUCGGCUAACCCCGUGCCAGCAGCCGCGGUAAUACGGAGGAUGCAAGCGUUAUCCGGAAUCAUUGGGCGUAAAGAGUCCGUAGGUGGCACUUCAAGUCUGCUUUCAAAGACCGAAGCUCAACUUCGGAAAGGGAGUGGAAACUGAAGAGCUAGAGUAUAGUAGGGGUAGAGGGAAUUCCUAGUGUAGCGGUGAAAUGCGUAGAGAUUAGGAAGAACACCAGUGGCGAAGGCGCUCUACUGGGCAUAUACUGACACUGAGGGACGAAAGCUAGGGGAGCGAAAGGGAUUAGAUACCCCUGUAGUCCUA